GGAAGCUGUCACACAGCAAGCAUCGUGUAAUGUCUCUCAGAAAAGGGAAAAAGCUGUCUCUAUAGACGGGAAAGUUUGACUGUGGAGUCUGUGCAGCUGCCCGUAGUUGACAGAGCUGGAACGAGCAUCUGUACAGUUAAAUUUCCAGGCUUCAAGAACAGCUUCUCAGCGUUCACAUUCUCUUUAUUGAUCCAACAAUAAACUCAAGUGACAUACACAAGUGUCUGGGGAAGAACACGCAGCUGUGUGUGCCUGACCUUACUUCACAUCUGCAAGUCAACACCUCCUCACCCUGGAUCGGGAGAGAGAUGGAUUGCUACUGCUACCGUAACCCGAAGAUGGAACCGUGAUCUGGAAUAGUGGAUUGUCAAAAGUCACUGGAGCUAAAUAACCACCACUGGGAUUGGGCAUGAGCAACCGGGAGCCGAGAGUAAGAAGUAAACAAGGAGCCUGGGGGUCGGAAGCUGCACAGUUAUAAUGGCGUUUGUGUGAAGCGCUGCAGGGUACUCCAGAGCCCGCAGGAGGCUGCAGGCUAGAUUAUGCCCCGCAAGUAGAAACAGGUCUAUUGUGACUAUAAAAAACCUUGUUUUAAACAUUCAAAGUCAGUUUUAUAAAGAAAGCAAGGGUAACUCAUUGUACUUAUGACGCUUAUCAAAGGCAGCCAGAAAAUGUUUUGAUACAAAUAAUAAUUUUAAGACUCAAAGAGUACAGGUUUCCAACAAUGCAGCCUGUCUGGGAUAUAUAGUCUGUCCGCAACUCAGUUUUUAUCACUGAAGCCCUAACAUUUCUCACCUGGAGGAAAAAUACUCACGUGUUAAUUCUUCAUAUUGCCCCUGGCUAAAAGAGAAGGGUUUGCUCACUCGUGUCUCCUGUCUGGGCAUGUUGAGGUACUUAUAUCAUAUGAGACAGACAUAUUAUUGGCAUUUCAUUUUAUUACCAUAAUUUUAGGGAUGAAGGAAUAUGACAGUUUGGCUUUUCGUGGCCCAUAUAUUUCUAAAUCAACAAGAGUAAAACUCUCUUCAUGAAACGAUUCUUUCCCUCUGUCUCGGAGAGCAGCUGGUAAACAAGCCACAUCUUUUUGAGGACAUAACCUCCAGGCUCAGACUGAGAGAGAUGCCUGCCUCUAACCAUAGAAGUCAAGGGUAGGAUUUCACAGGCACCGUAAUGCUCUUUUGGGGUGAUGUGUCAGUCAAGGAAAUGUGGAUGGAUGGGAGGCUCUAAGGGAGAAAGCACAGAGAUUAAUUUAAUGCAGGAAAUUCUGAUUCUUUUAAUCUUUCCCAACUAAAGGAGGUCUAAAGCAGAAAACAAGCAUGUGUCUUCAGUCACUGUCCACAAGCACGGUUACAACUUCCACUCAUAGUGUUAAAGGCAAAGGCUUUUUUCCCCAGCGCAUUACUCGCGGUUGAGACUCUCGUUGUGCGCGCCACGCUGGUGGAUGAGAUAGGGCUGAGCUACACUCGCGGUAUGUUUUGGGCCUUAUGAACUGUGUUGAGCCAUCUCAGCUGCAUAUACUUCACGGCUAUGUUUUUCAGAGCAUUUGAUGAUUCUAAUGAGCCCUUGAAUAUAUUUAGUGGCUCAUUAAAUGAUAUUAAAUGAGAUAGUCUGUUAAGGGAUAAGAGCUGUUAACUGCAACAUCUUAAUGAUCACUUUACACAAAUUGCUAACCUCCUAUAAUCACAUGGAAAUGAUUUCGCGAUUUCCAAAUUUUAAAAGUUUAAUUUUAAUUAGAUUGUCUGUAGCGAACUCGUGUCCGUAACGUGCUAGUAGUAAAGCUGUAAACUUGGGCGCAGAAAUGCUCACCAACUCCACAGUGAACGUCGUCAUUUAAUCCAUUCGUUCUGCCCCUUCAUUGGGUUGUGUUCUGUUUUCUGCAGGAUCAGGGCCAAGACCAUGCUCUACUGGGGAUUCAAGCACAGGUCGGGUACCAAUAGAGGAGCCAAGGAUAACCAGGUUGAUUGACCCUUUUUCACUCUGCCAUUCCAGGUGACUGGUAGUCAGUCAUUCAUUUCUUGCUUUGAAUAAAAAAGGCCCACUCAAUGGACAAUCUUGGCUUCACCAUUGCUUAUUCUAAGCUGAGCUUUCUACGACAAGGUUUUUGUAGAAGGCCAGAUCAUAUGAGCAAACCAAACAACAGCCUACAUGUAUGUUUCCAGUCUCACUAAUAUAUUAAAGUUCUGGAAUAACUUACUUUACUGCAUUUCCUAUUCAAGUACAGACUGUAAAUUACUGCCUGUUUUGUUUAUAUACUUUUUAAAAAAGAUUUACUUAUUUUAUAUAUGUGAUUAUGUUGUCACUGUCUUCAGACACACCAGAAGAUGGCAACGGAUCCCAAUCCAGACGGAUCUGAGCCACCAUGUUGUUGCUGAGAAUUGAACUCAGGACCUCUGGAAGAUCAGUGCUCUUAUCCACUGAGCCAUCUCUCCAGCCCCAUAGAUAUGUAUUCGGUGACGAUUUCCACACUUUGCUUCUAAUGUAGAAAAUUUAAAGGAGCAUAAAUAUCUCUAUUAUUUUGAGUAUCUCAAUUAUUCAAAGGUGAGAGCGGUUUUAUUUUAUUUAAUCCCACAUUGACAUUUACAUUGUAAUCUUAUCGAAUAUUGUUUAAUGUUUUAUUUUAAUAAUGUUAACUGUUAAAUAUUCUCAAAAAGAAAAUAUCCUAAAAUUUUAAUAACAGUGAAUAACACGGUGCUGGAUGCAUGCAGCUAUGGCGUAAGCUCGUGGGCCACAGGACUGCCUGGAGCUUUUUGCUGUCUCCACCGAAGAAUCCCAGUGUGAAGAAAGGGGAUUUUCUUAAAUAUUUCAUGCUUUAACUUCAUUAGCUGUAAAGUGGAGAUAACAGCUCGAUAGGGCUCUUAGAACAAAUGUGAGCACCUAGACAGAACAUCCUUAGAGAAAUGUUUGCCAUCUUGUAAAUGUUAUUUAAACAAAAUUAGAGUAUCAGUUUAGAGUAAUGCACAAUAUCCCAGGCCCAAACUGUCUUAAGGAAACAUUUCAGUUGCUUGUAGUUUUCUAUGACUCUGUUGUUUCCUUAUAAUACAUUCACAUAGAACAACACGUUAUCAACACGUUAUGUGAAUAUUUUAAUGGAUUUCGGAAUAUCUGGUCAAAUGACCUUCUAAGAACCAUCUAUUUGAUUAUGAUGUUCCAACUAUCUAUUUCUUAUCUAUCAUCUGUACAUCUUUACCUAUUUUUAAAAGUUUCAAGUUGUGUAUU